CUGCACGGCGGUCACCCCUGCGUCGGACACCGCACCCCCUGUGCUGGAACUCGACGUUCGUGCUCCUCUGCCCAAAGCCGGUUUCUCCUCCUCCUAUCCCACCUCUCUAGAGCUUCAGUGACCGGGCUGGGAGAGAUGCAUGCAGUUAGGAGCUCGGCGGGGACCACCGUCGCGAGUUCAUCGGUGGCGCUCUGUGGCCGGCGUGCUGUGGGUCAAUACCGCGAAUGCCCCCUCAACCGUCCCAUACCAGUGUUGGGGCCUGGGCGUGUUGGCCAGGGAGUUUCUUGGGCGCACCUGGAACUGCACCGUGGCGACCGCGGGCGUGAAGGUGUGGACAUCGUGGAGGAAUUUCUCACUGGUGCUGCGGGUCCGCGCAUCGCCGCGUGCCAUCAUCACCACGCCCGGAUUUUUGGUGAGAGUGCCCUGUAA
rnacentral:misc_RNA from 1 species